CUCAUUAUAUAGACAAGGCUGGCCCUGAACUCAAGAGAUACAUCCACCUCUGCCUCCUGAGUGCUGGGAUUAUCGGCGUGCACCAGCACCAUCUAGCUCCUGGGUGUGAGCACAAGUGAGUAGUGGUAACAGCAAAUGUGACCAUGUGACUGAAGCACUUACUAUUUGGACCCUUCCAGAAAAAGCCCAACCUCUUUGACUCAGGCCACCAGUGAGGUCCUGACAACCCCAAGUCUCCUUGUAAGCUUGGGAGGUGCCAACCCACAGUUCUGGUAUGAUCUCUGAAUUUCCAGGUGAGCCCUGACACCCAUGUCCCCACGUGCUCUUCCUGCUUCCUCUAUCCACAACCACCAGCUGCAGACUGGUUCCUGCCACACCCAAGGCACUUCUACACACAGAGAUAUCCUCCUCCUUCUUUCUGUUGCUGGACUGUGCGUUCCUCCUUCUGAGGGGUCCCCAGCCUCUUUCAUCUCCUGAAGCUUCCCUCAGAUCGCCAGACCUGGGACUCACCUUCCUCCAUUCCUCUAAAGCGGCCCUCAGGUUUGAAGGGUCUAUUCUGUAAUGUCUCACCUUGUAUACCUGUCCAUAGGUUCCAUUGCCAACCACCUCCACCAGCUCAAAGAUUCCUGCAGGGUCCUGGGAGGGAGAAGAAAGAACAAGAUGUCAUCACUUCAGCAAGGGCUGUGAUGCUGGAGGGGAUGAAGGUGUCAACCAGGAUAAGAGUGACAGAGAAGACGAUCACUUAGGGGACUGUGGCGAACCCUAAUGGUUAGAUGGGUUUUCUCUGGAUAGUUCAGAGUUAAUUCUAUUCUAGAGUCAGGAGGGAACAUGGUAGUCAUAGCCCAGAGGGCUUUUCAAAGGCAUGCUCUUGAUUCCCAACUCACUGACCUAUGGCUAUGUAUCUGUAUUCCCAACUGCAAGUGAGGGUGCCCAAACACAUCCCUGGCCUGGGCUAAACUUUCAGUGAGGUAAUGCCCACAAUGCACUGCUGUGUGCCCACAACAGCCCAGGCUGGCAGUGUGUUUGAAUAAGAGUUUAGUAUUAUUGCUAUUAAGAGAUGGUUCAGCAGUUAUGAGCACUGGCUGCUCUUUCAAAGGCCUGGUUUCAAUUCCUAGCACCUGCGUGGCAGCUCACAACUGUCUGUAAUUCUAGUUCCAGAUACCCUCCAAUUCCCUCACCUUCACACAGCCAUACAUGCAGGCAAAACACUACAUGUGAAAUAAAAAUUUAAAAAUGGAGGCAGGGACAGAGAUGAGCCAGGGCACAGGAGGCACCGUCCUUUGGUCUCCCCUCCCUAGUUCUUUAAAAUAAGGGCCUCCAGUAAGACACGAAGUGUUUGGGACAUGUGAAGUAUCCUCCACAAAAGGAGAGAGAAAGGGCCUCUCACUGCCACACUGAACUCUGCCCUUCCUCCUGUUCCGAGCCAUGCAGUGCCAGGAGAAAGCCCAGAGAGUGAACAAAGCUUCUAAAGAUCCCCUCCUCCUGCUGGCUUAGAGCAGGCGGCCUGGUCUCAUAGGCACAUCUGCUACCCUACCCUAAGGCCAACCCAAACCCUCCAGGCAGGAGGUGUGGCUGCAAGCUGGCCCCCCAGUAUCAUUCUGCACAAAGAAUAGGUCUGGCCCAAUCCCUGCAGAGACCAAGGACACCAAUGUGGUGUCAACUCUCCAGGCAACACGUAAAGUCUCAGAGCUGAGCAUCCUAACAGCAUAUAACCUAAAAGUUCCCUCUCCCUGACUUUAAGAGCCAAUAUAGGAUUUCUGAAAGUAAAAACAUCCUGUUGUGCUGAAGAAAUCUACAGGGACAGGGUCUGGGCACAGACACCCUAAGACCCCCUGCCCAGGGUUUUCAGGAAUGUGUGUACUGCACUUUGUCCAUCUUCUCAGAGAGGAAGUAGAGGGCAGAAACACACCCUGGUUCCCUCACAGCAGAGAUCACAAGGCAUUGUGAUUACAUAUUUACUUGCUGGGAAACUCCCUGGAGGAAGUGCCUGAGUUCUACUUGUUCUCCAAAUCUGUCCAGCAUGUCAACGGACCUGGCACUCAGCAGCCUGAAACAUGUACCCCAUCCUCCCCAAGAGAAUCUCACAGCAAUGAAGGAGCCUCCUCCUAAUCCGUGAUUAUAAAUCUCAUGUCAACAGUCAAUCACUUUACUUUCACAAGUGACAAAAAGGAAAAGGAAAAAGGUGUAUGCAUGGCAUGACGACCGUCCUUGCCUUCUACCUUCCUUGACACGGGAGCUCCUCCUCACUGCUGAGUAAGUCGGAAUAACUGACUUGCUACAGAGUGUGGAGGGAGGACGACUUGGAAAGGUCUGCUUUCUCUAUCUACCAUGUGGGUCCUGGGAAACAGAACUCAGCCUUUCCUGAUGUCUCUGUGCUAAACAUCCUAACUGCAUAUAACUUAAAACUCCAAUAUAGAGUCAAUACAGGAUUUCUGAAAAUAAGAA